rnacentral:tRNA from 1 species
UCAAGAUGUAGCUUAAUCAAAGCAUUCGGCUUACACCCGAAAGAUUUCACACUACCAGGACAUCUUGA